AUCGAACGCUAGCGGGAUGCCUUAUACAUGCAAGUCGAACGAGUGGCGGACGGGUGGGUAAUAUAUCGGAACGUGCCCAGUAGAGGGGGAUAACUACUCGAAAGAGUGGAUAAUACCGCAUACAAUUGGAGCCGCCGAUAUCGGAUUAGCUAGUUGGUGGGGUAAAGGCUCACCAAGGCAACGAUCCGUAGCCGGUUUGAGAGGACGACCAGCCACACUGGGACUGAGACACGGCCCAGACUCCUACGGGAGGCAGCAGUGGGGAAUUUUGGACAAUGGGCGAAACCCUGAUCCAGCCAUCCCGCGUGUAUGAGAAGGCCUUCGGGUUGUAAAGUACUUUUGGCAGAGAAGCGGUAUCUGCAGAAUAAGCACCGGCUAACUACGUGCCAGCAGCCGCGGUAAUUC
rnacentral:rRNA from 1 species